CGCCACCGCCCCCGGCCGGGACCCGCCUCCGCGCGGCGCCGCCUGCUGCCCGCCCGCCUCGCCCGGCUCCUGGCCCGGCCCCCCCGGCCCCGGGCCUGGGCCCUCGGUGGCCGCUUCUGCGCGGCGCCCACCGCGCUGCCAGAGGCUCCCCCGCCGCUCGCCGUCGUCCGGGCGCGCGUCGCUCUUUCCCGCGCCUUUCCCGGGGCCCGCGCGCGGUUCCUGCCGCCCCGGGACGGCGGUGCCUCCGCGAGGACCGCGCAGAUGGGGCAAGUCUGCAGGGCCGAGGCGAGGUCGGUUUGCCGGCAGCGUGGAAGGGAGAGCAGCUGGGGAGAGGAAGGAGGGGCUGAAGGCUGUGGUGCGAUCGCGCGUUCCCUCGGCAGGGGGAAUCGUGCAGAAACGUGAAACUGUUGUUGGAGAAGACGGUGGAUCUGAAUCUGACAUGCGUAUGGAGCAGGAUGGAACUGGGCUUAUACAGACACAUUUCAAGGUAGAACUGCCUCUUGGGCUGCUGAUGCCUUUGACAACAUCCCCAAAGCAGCUGGAAGGAGGAACGAGCUGGGUUGCCAGCAUCCACGUCGUGAAGGGAAAGGAAACAGUCUUCCUGCUCUGACUGUUCUCAGUGUUCUCAGUGGACACCAGGCUGUUUCUAAUGCUGUGUAUUAUGCAUAUUGUGUCGGAUUAUGUAAAAGCUCUUUGUUAAUCCUCCCAGUUGAGGGCAAAGGCCUCAGCCAGGCCAGAUGAGUUUGGGAGGUGAAUACGCAACUGCACAGAUGGCAGCAACAGAGCUUUGGCCUCCGUGAGCGGGAGACCACGUCCCAGGCAGGAGGAUGAGACCAGUAAUGGGGGUUUAAUGCUCUAGGUACGUGAUGGCGAUGUGGUAGGAGGGGUCGCAGCCAUGCCCGGGUGCUGCUGGGGAUCCCCAGCAGUGCUCGCGAGGGCAGGGACCACCUCGGGUUUGCUCCAGCAGCAGUGGGGCAACUGGCAGAGCAUUCUCCCAGGCAAGGUGAACUCAAUGAAAUAAAGUCACUGCUCUAAGAAAAAGAAGGAGCAGGAGCAGCAGGGGAGGGAGAGCAGCUUUCAAAAAAAGCACCUUCCAGCAAAACAAGGAAGCAGAGGACUCCUUGGUGAACAUCCUGGGGCAAAGGAAAGUUCAGGAAAGUGGGCAGUGGCUGCAAAAAGCAGCAUCAAAGGGCCAAUGGCAAAUGCGGCUGAUGCAGAGGGAGGCUUGGCAGCACAGAAGGAGAUGGCGUUGGCUGUGUUGGGGCUCCCUGACAACCUGAGGAGCCUGGAGGGAUUGCACAAAGCGAGGGAACAGGGUAAGCAGCAAAGUACUGAAGAGACCAGCACACCGGGUUCAGGGGGAAUGACAGAGAAGAGGUGACACCAAAUAAGCUGCUGCAAGCAAAGUGAACCGCAUCAUGUCCUCUGGGCAUAUGGGGAGGGAGAAACAGACACAAAUACCAUGAAGAAAGGAAGAGGAACACAUAAUAUGUGCCCUGACGAAGGCUUGUGAUCAGAUUUUUCACACAAUGUGAUCAGACUUUUCACACAAUGAAUGAUCCAAGGGAAAGAAGAGGUUAAAUAUACUUGGAUAAACCAGGCGUGAUAAAUCACCCAGGCCUGGUGACAUGCACUGGAGGGACAAGCGCUGCACCAUCAGGUGCUAGCUUUGAGGAGGAUGGGGUUUUCAGGAGUGGGAGAGACCUCAAAGGGCUGCAAAAGGCAAAGGUGGCACCAGGGAAAAGAGCUGGAGUUUCUGGGCCCCUCCACCUCUUUCUGGAGUCUGGAAAUGUGAUCUGCACCAGACCCCUAAGCCAUAACUUGUAAGCACUACAGAUCCCUCAGACAAUGAAGAAAGAAUCAGAAGAGACGUGUCAAGUGCAGAGCAAACCCAGCCAUGCCCUUUGGUUCUUGGCCAAGCAGGGAGAUUUGGAGGAGCGCUCAUGCAGAACAACUGUCACAAGUUCAGUUCUGUUCAGUAUUGUCUUUCAGGACCUAGAUGAUGGGCUGGAGAGCACAGGCAUCCUGACAGUACUGAGCUGGGAAGAGUCAAAAGCCUUUGGGAGAACCAUACUGUAAUUUACUUUGCACUAUGCUGCCUUGCCCGUGGAAGCGUGGAUGGAGGUGUCUCACCACAGGCAUCACAGUACAAAUAUGCCACAAGCCCUCUCUACAUCCCCAACGGCUCGCUGCUGGACUUGUGCAAACAUUGCAUUGUCUCAGUGGGCAAACCCCAGCUCCAACACCAUGGCUCGAUCCUCCAAGUCGUCCUCUCUGCCGAGUGACAUGAGGUAUCACGUUGUUGCAGCCUAGGUUGCACUGACUGCUCACUUGGCCUGUGCUCAGCCCCAUCACCAGGCCAGAGGAGCAGCCCGCCAGGUGCUCCCGAUCCUUGGUCUUUGCUGGCCACGUUCUGCUUUGACAGCCGUUGGCAAACAGUUGCCUACCCUUACCCACGAGUGAUGACCUUGGCUGGUCAUCUCUUCCCACAGGUCCCACAUGCUUGGGACAUGGCUGGGUCCCAGUGCAGACCUGGCUAUGCAGACAGAAUGAUGAACACAAAUUGACUCUGGAACCACCUCUGAAAUGAGAGACUACUGGUGUGGCUGAUGUUUCUUUGGGGGUUUUUUUGCAUAUUUUGGAGGAGACAAUCUCAUAUUCUGGUUCAAGAGAGAGCUUUUCAAGCCGCAAGAAGUCAACUCUGCACCUUUCUGGCCAUGAUAUUGCCCUUCUGGCAGGCACAUUCAUGUUGCAGUUGCUUGUGUCCCACUCUGGGGUGUGUUAGGGUUGUUCUGAGAUGACUCUGAGGGUUAUGGUCCUUUCCUACCUGAAUGGUUUCUCUUCCCUGGCCAGGCAGGCUUUCCCUCUGGAGAGCUCUGUGCAAGCCAUUCCUUCCCAGCCUGCAAGUCCUGUAGUCUGUGACGACUUCAAUGUGAAAGCCACCAGCCUCUCCUGGGCUCUCUUCACUCAUAGUCUUUUCAGGUGGGGAAUUUGCCAUAUUGUUUUUACGUUUUUGGAGUCAGGUCCUGGGCUUGGGGAACUCAUCGAGGACCCCUACAUGACACACUACAACCUCAUCCAAUUCCACAACAUGCUUUUUUUUACCCCAGAGCAGUGGUAGCAUCCAUCUCUGGAGGCAAGUACUUGGAAUAUUUCAGCCAUCUCAGGCAACAUCUCCUCAACUAUGGGUGUUUGCUAGCAUGCCAGAUACAGUUUCACUUGCCUGAACCCAUGAAAAGUGCAGUUGAUGGUGCUUCCACUUAUGUAGUGUCCUUGGCUCAGGCUGGGAGCCCUUUUCACCCCAUUAUUUACUGCUUCCAUUACUUUUUGUCUUAUUCCAAUGGACACGCUUUGAAGGGUACAUUGCACUGGCUGAAAUGUUUGAUCUAUUUCUGGGUAUGGUAUCAAAAGACCAUUUUCUAAAGCUGUGUAUUUGUACAAUACCUAGCACACUGGGGCCCUGGUCUCUACCCGGGCCCUGUAGCUCUGGUCUGAUGCACAAAUAACAUGCUAGUCAGGAUGCUACAGGGCAUGGUCUGCUCUCCAGAUGAUCUGGCUUGCAUCUCCAUUGAUCUCACCAGGUUUGGUGCUGUAUGGUUGCAACCUGGACUCACCUGCUGUAGCUGAACAGGGUAGUUGCAGUGAAAUUGGGGUGGCAGCCUGAAUCCCUCCUUGGCACCCUGCAGGCCACAUAUGCUUCCUCUUACCCGUCUGGUCCUCUUCUGUGUACAGAUGAAGAAGCCUGAAUAGCCCAGCUCAGCAUGGACUCCCAUCGUCUAGCUGAUGUUUGAUUUCCUGCUAGUUUGCUCCAUGUGCUGCUAAUCUCAGUUUAGCACAGAUAUUUUUGCUGGUUUGUGCUGCAUUUGCAGCAGAUCUGUGCAAAAUCCCAUCCUCUGAGCCCUUACUCCCUUCCCUCAGCUGGGGGGUUCCAUCUGAAGUGGUCCAUGUUUGGGGUUGAGUGAGUCCCCAGCUGCAAUGGAGAGGACCCCACCGCCUCUCCCCACUCCACCGGUUUGGCCACAGCCUGCCACCACUCCUGCUUCCUUGGGCAAGCGUUGCCAGCGUGGGGUCCCCUGCUCUUUCUCAGCGGUGUCCACAGCACAUAGGCAAAGCAUGUCCUCUCACAGCAUCUCUUUGCAGGGCUCGCAGACCUCCCUUCACAUGUUGUUUAUGACUUUUGCUUUGAGUUUCUGAUUUUUCUUCGUAACAUUUCAGUUGAUUUUCCCUUGUCUUUUCCCCUCUGGCUCUUGGUGAAUUAUCUCAUAUCUUCUGCAGGAGGCUAUUCACUUGCUUUGCAUCUGUCUCUCUCUCUCUCUGGCAGUGGGAGCCUUCUGAGCCUUCACAGCUGAGCCCCUGCGUCCUUGUCUCUGCUAGUAAUCUAUCACAAAUGAGUCCAUCUUUCAAGAUUUGAUAGUGCCGUGAGUCAGCCAUUUUGCACAGUUUGGCAACAUGCAGCCCUAUUGUUUCUCCAGAUCCUUGAUGACACUUGUUCAGAGGAGCCCUUUCAUAUGUGACAUUUUUUGUGGGUGAGAAAUAUGUUGGGAGAGUUUCUCAGAUUUCACUUGGGUCCUUCCGGUCUGCUGCUGCUCUUAAUCCAGAUGCUGCAGGAACAUGUGGUGUCCUUUGAUUGUCCCACAGCACAAAGCUGCUGCUCUUGUUUUUGUUUUCCUUUUCUGCAGCCCUGAUGCAAUUUUGCAGUUUUCCCACUGUGACCUAAAGAAUGUCCAGUUGCUAAACACAUCCUCUUUCAUGUCUCUGCCCAGAGCCAAGGCUCUGGGAUCUGGGCCAUUUCUGCUGCUUUUGCUUGAGGUCCUCCUCCUUGCCCCUCCAUUUUUUUGUGGGAUUUUGAUGUUUUCUCAGCAUUCCUCAGUCAUGAUUUCACAUACCUCCUGGAGCUGACUCACUGCUGACACCAUCAUCUUUGUGUAUCAGAAGGAGAGCCAAGACAACAUGACUUUCUGGUCUUAUUCUUUCCUCUGCCUCCCCAGUUUCCUUUUUUCCUCCAGUGCUUCCUGAAAAGUGGAGUUCUCAGAGUGUCACUGCUUCCUCAGGGGUUGAUUGUCUUGUUUCACAAACUGCUCAGACGUUUUGCUAUCUGCUGCAGAACAAAAGGUUGCCAUGAGAUGAGAUAAGGAUGCUCUAGGACAGGAAGCAGGCACUGGCUCAGUUCAGCCUCAGCUCAACAGUCAUUAUUGCCCCAAGCAAUUUGGGACCUGACUGCCCCUUUUUUGAAGCCUUCCUGAUGAAAUUUGGAAACCUUGACAUUUCCCUCCUUGGUAUUUGGGGAUGAAGUGCUUGGACCAGCUCCCCUUGUACCAGGAUGACUGUGUGCGUUGCCUGCCGUUUGCUGGGGCACCUUCAGAAAGUGCACGUGCAAUACAGUGCACGACACAGAGGCUUAACUUGGAAAGCCAAAUGCCCUGAGCUCUGUGUGAAAGCUGAUUUGAGUGAGCGGCAAAUUUCUGUGCACGCACGUACACAUGCAGGGAUGCACGUCUCUCUACAGCACGGCCUUGAGGGCUCUUACGGCCAUGCUAGGACUCCCUCUCUGAACUGUGUACAUGGCCAUGAUUGCAUGGCCACGAUCUCCUCCUUCCCUUGACCCUUUGUGCAAAAGGCUGGAGAGUCUGGCCCCUGGCUGCUGAACCGGAGCAGAGCCUUCGUUAUCAAGUCUGGUCCAGAUGGAAAUAAUCCACAAGCAUGCGGCGAUCUCAAAUUCCUCUUGGCAGCAACGGUCCUGGGAGAUGUGUCAGACUCAGACUUUUCAGCUCAGACAGCAGCUCCCUGCCCCAUCCUGGUGGCCCUGCUCUGCUGGGGCACGCGGCACAGCCCCGAUGCCCCUGCCGCUCAUCGGUGGCAGCACCAUGGGAUGUGGGGCACGUGCAACCCUGUCCCUGCCUGGCCGAGUCCUGGGAAUACCCCGCGAGUCUUGAGAAAACCAUCUAUCCUAGAGUUUUCAGCCUUUAUACGUUGUCAUUAUACAUCACAGGGUCCAGGUCAGUGAGUGAGCAAACCUCACGCUGCGCCAGCAAAUGCGUCGUACAUGCUGUCCUGCAGACAUCUCUGCCCAGUGCUUUCAUGGCACAAGAAAUAAAUCAUGAAGGGAACCUUCCAAAAGCCUGUGUGAUGCCACCUUUGUGAUACAGUGUGGUGUGAUUGUAGGAAACCUCACUGCUCAAUUCCCGAAAGUAUCCGCAAUGUUUGAAAAUGAGAAUAUUUUCUAGAUAAAGAACUAGCAACUUAA